UACGAAGGGUGCAAGCGUUACUCGGAAUUACUGGGCGUAAAGCGUGCGUAGGUGGUUUGUUAAGUCUGUUGUGAAAGCCCCGGGCUCAACCUGGGAAUGGCAAUGGAUACUGGCAAGCUAGAGUGCGGUAGAGGGUAGUGGAAUUCCCGGUGUAGCGGUGAAAUGCGUAGAGGUCGGGAGGAACACCAGUGGCGAAGGCGGCUACCUGGACCAGCACUGACACUGAGGCACGCAAGCGUGGGGAGCAAACAGG
rnacentral:rRNA from 1 species